AUACUAACCCAGCAGGGGCAAUACCAUGAUUGCGAAGGUGGUUUUCCCUGGGCGAGGCUGGUCCAUUGCACUCUGGGUGUGCUGACCCCUGCGGUGUCCCCACGUGUGGGAAGCUCAUCCACAUAAUUUGUGGUGGGGGGACUGCACUUGCGUUCUCCCCCG